rnacentral:rRNA from 1 species
UGGGAACGUACCUCUUGGUUCGGAACAACACAGGGAAACUUGUGCUAAUACCGGAUAAGCCCUUACGGGGAAAGAUUUAUCGCCGAGAGAUCGGCCCGCGUCUGAUUAGCUAGUUGGUGAGGUAACGGCUCACCAAGGCGACGAUCAGUAGCUGGUCUGAGAGGAUGAUCAGCCACACGUGGGACUGAGACACGGCCCAGACUCCGUACGGGAGCAG